GACGAGGGGUCCAAGCGUUGUUCGGAAUCAUUGGGCGUAAAGCGGGUGUAGGUGGCUCUGUAAGUCAGGAGUGAAAGCCCCGAGCUUAACUCGGGAAGUGCUUUUGAUACUGCAGAGCUUGAAUGUGGGAGAGGAUCGUGGAAUUCCAGGUGUAGUGGUGGAAAUACGUAGAUAUCUGGAGGAACACCGGUGGCGAAGGCGGCGAUCUGGCCCAACAUUGACACUGAGACCCGAAAGCGUGGGGAUCAAACAGG
rnacentral:rRNA from 1 species